rnacentral:rRNA from 1 species
AGUGGACGCUGGCGGUAGGCCUAACACAUGCAAGUCGAACGGCAGCACAGUAAGAGCUUGCUCUUACGGGUGGCGAGUGGCGGACGGGUGAGGAAUACAUCGGAAUCUACUUUUUCGUGGGGGAUAACGUAGGGAAACUUACGCUAAUACCGCAUACGACCUACGGGUGAAAGCAGGGGAUCUUCGGACCUUGCGCGAUUGAAUGAGCCGAUGUCGGAUUAGCUAGUUGGCGGGGUAAAGGCCCACCAAGGCGACGAUCCGUAGCUGGUCUGAGGGGAUGAUCAGCCACACUGGAACUGAGACACGGUCCAGACUCCUACGGGAGGCAGCAGUGGGGAAUAUUGGACAAUGGGCGCAAGCCUGAUCCAGCCAUACCGCGUGGGUGAAGAAGGCCUUCGGGUUGUAAAGCCCUUUUGUUGGGAAAGAAAAGCAGCAGGUUAAUACCCCGCUGUUCUGACGGUACCCAAAGAAUAAGCACCGGCUAACUUCGUG